rnacentral:tRNA from 1 species
GGAGAGGUGGCAGAGUGGUCGAUUGUACCUGACUCGAAAUCAGGCGAUGGGAAACCAUCCGUGGGUUCGAAUCCCACCCUCUCCGCCA